UUCAUUCAUGUUGUUGUAUGUUCUGGUAGUUCAUUUGUUUUCAUUUUCAUGUAGUAUUCCAUGUAUAAGAUAUUCUAUUUUAUUUAUUUAUUAUACUGUUGAUGGACAUUUGGGUUGUUUCUAAUUUGGAACUCAAAGAAUGGUGUCAGUAACAUUAUUAUUAAUGGCAUUUGCUGCAAAUAAGCUCAUGGAAAUCAGAAAAAAAAUGAGCUAAGUCAAUUUCAAAAUGUGAAAAAAAAUAUUGAGUAUUUACAAAAUAAGAUUUCCAUAUGGUCAAUAGACAUGUAAAAAAGUCUUCAAAAUAAUUAGUCAUUAAUAAAAUGUAAAUUAAAACCCAAUGAGAUACCACAACACACUAUACAGAAUGGCAGAAAAUAGAAAGUAAUGCCAAAUAUUGGUAAGGAUAUUAAAAAACAAGAAUUUUCACAUAUUGCUGCUGAUUCUGUAAACUGAUAUAACAGCUAACUUCUAUUGUUUAACAGUGUCUAGAAAAGCUAAACAAAUUUUUCUUUCUGAUGUAAAUUUUCCAAGAAAGUUCAACAAGACAUAAAGAAAUAUGUUUAUAGCCCAGUAUUCAUAAUGGCCACCUUCAUUUUCUAGGAUAUUUCAGCUGGUUAUAGUAUUCUAGAUGGAUACAUUUUCUCUUGGCAUAUCACAAAUGCCAUUAAAUAUCAUCUGUUUUCAUAAUUUACAUUGAAAGAUCAAUAGUUAUUCAUAUUGUUGUUCCAUUUAAAUUAAUCUAUUUUCUGCCUCUGCUAUUGAAUUUGUUAAUUUUGUUUUAAUAACAUUAUUUAUCUCUACCUAUGCCAUUUCCUUCCAAGGAAAUAGUUCUUUAAAUAUUGUUUCAUUAUUUUUCCUCUCUUGUACUUCAUAUACAUGCAUAGUAGAAACUUUCACUGUGUCUCAUCUGUUCCUUUCUCUUUCUCUCUUCAAUAAUACAUGUUAUGUUAUCCUCUGCUCCAUAAUAUAUACACAUAUGUAUAUAUAUUACACUGGCUAUAUUACAUUGUCUACCCAAGUUUGUAUGGUUCAUACCCCCAUAAACCUCAGUUUAAAUAUUUUAACUAUCCUAUCUUUAGUUUACUAUCCCCCACUUCUGCUGAAUCUGAUCUAAUUUUUAAAACAGAUUUAUUAAAGUCUUAUUUACAUAAAAAUAAAUCUAUCAAUUGUAUAAUAGGUAAUACAUUUAUAGAAUUGUACAAUCACAACAAUCCAUCUCUAGAACAUUUGCAUCACUCCAAAAUAUUUCUUUAUACCUUUUUACACUUAAGCUAUGCCUUUCCCAGAUAUGGCAACAACUAGUCUGGUUUCUGUAUCUGUACAUUUGCCUUUUCUGGUCAUUUCAAAUAAAUGUAAAUCAUAUGAUACAUGGUCUUUUGUGAUUGGCUUCUUUCACUUGCGUAAUGUUUUUGAGGUUUAUCAAUGUUGUACUAUGUAAUCAUGUUUUUUCCCUUUUUUAUUGCUGAAUAGUAUUUAUUGUGUUGAUAUAAAACAGUUCAUAGAUUCAUUUACCAGCUAAAUGGACAUUUGAAUUGUUUCCACUUUUUGGCCAUUAUGAAAGUUGCUGCUAUGAACAUUCACAUCAUGUCUUUGUGUGGAAGUUUUUUUGUUGUUGUUUUUAUUUUUCUAGGCUGAUACCUAGGAUUGGAAUUUCUGGGGUUUAUGGUAAAUUCAUGUUUACCUUUUUUUCUUUUUGAGACAGGGUCUUUCUCUGUUGCCCAAACUGGAGUACAGUGGUAUGAUCACAGCUCACUGAAGCCUCAAACUCCUGUGCUCAAAUAAACCUCCUGCCUCAGCCUCCCAAGUAGCUAGGACUGCAGACACAUGUCACCAUGCCAGCCCAUGUUUAACUUUUUAAGGGACAACCAAACUGUUUUCCAAAAUGCCUGUACCAUUUUACAUUCAUACCAGAAAUGCAUGAAAAUUUCAAUUUUUUCAUUUUCCUGUCAAAUGUUGUUAUUGUCCAUCUUCUCAAUUGUAGCCACUCUAAUAGUACAUAGUUGGAAAUUAAUGAAUACUAAAUACAUAAAUAUAUAUGUAUGAGUAAAUUCCAUUAGGUAAAUUUUUCCAGGAAAAAUUUAUAAGAAAGAUUACUUUUAUUUUGACUCUACUUGUAAAAAUCUCAAAUAUAUUGUGAGCAAAUAAUCAGACGUAAAAAGCAUAACAUUAUAAUCAAGUAUGAUUAUACCAGUAAUUGAAGGGUGAUCCAACAUUUUAAAAUGUUCUUUAGCUACUCUGUGUAACAUACGAAUAGCAUUGUAAAGUGUCCAAUAUCACCUUGAUUAAAAAUGUAUGAUAAACUAGAUGAAACUUUAUUUUUAACAUAAAAAUUGUUAUAUUUUUAUGUAAAGUGUCAAAAAAGGAGAUACAGUAUUUUCCAAAAUAAAAGUAAUGACAGUGAUCUGUUGUUCUCUAAUCCUAAAUAAAUCUCCACCCUUCCCUCAAACUCUUUCAUUCUAACUCUGAUAAACCUACCCUGCAAAGUGAAAGUAAACUUCCUAUUCAAAAAUUAGUCAAUUUUGGUUGCAUCCAUAUCUGGCAAAUUUUAUACAGCUAUGGUUUGGGAAACCAAAGUUAUUAGACUAUAUGCAAUAACUUGAAGCACAGCUUUCCCAUGACGAUAUUUUUCACAACCACAUUUUGAAAUAUAUAUAGGAAUACACUAUAAUUGACAUUUUGACAAACCUUGGGAAUGUUCAUACAUAAAUGUGUAAGGAGUCCACAAGAAUACCCUCAGAUUCAAAGACUCACUAGAAGGGUUCGCAAGACACUCAAUAAAAAACCGUUAGAUGCAUGGUUAUGGUUAGUUACCAUGAAAGGACACAGAUUUAAAUCAGCAAACAAAGAUGAAUGGGGUGAAGUCCAGAAGCUGGGUAUAAGAUUUUAGAUGUCACCUCCCAAUGGAGUCACACAGGGACACAACUCUCCCAGCAACACUGUGUGAAAACACAUGUAGAGUCUUGCCACCAGGAAGCUCAUCUGAACUUUGAUGUUCAGAGUUUUUAUUGGUAGUCAGUUAUGUGGAUGUGCAGUGCCCACAUCACAGACCUCAGCUUCUCAGACUCCAGGCCUCUCACCCUCAAGAGCUUCAUAAUCUCAAUUUCAUCCCAGCAGUCCUUGUUUUUGUCCAGUAUGCUAUAAUGCAUUUGGCAAGCAAAUCUUGAAAUUACACCAGCACUUGCAGAAAAUGACAGCCAGGCAGAUGCAGUUUCCAAGGCUCUGACCCAUCCUUGAAGCUGAGUUUGUGAAGAUUUCUCUGAGGCAUAGAUGGUGUGGGAAAGAGAUAGAUACAUAAACCAAGUCAGCAUCCUACUAAAAGGAGUAGUGAUUUGCCCCGACUUGAAUUAUUCUUGGCAUAGAACUCUCUGUCUUUCCCACAGCAUCUUGCAAAGCACCACCACUCAAAGGUUCAUAAAUCUUGAAAAACAUCUCACGCUCACAAGGUGAAGUCCCCCGAUAGGCCGCGUGCAAGCUGAGGAGCGAGGAAGCCAGCAGUGGCUCAGUCCGAGUCCCAAAACCUCAAAAGUAGGGAAGCUGACAGUAUAGCCUUCAGUCUGUGGCAGAAGACCUGAGAGCCCCGACAAACCACUGGUGUAAGUCCAAGAGUCCAGAAGCCAAAGAACUUGGAGUCUGAUGUUCAAAGGCAGGAAGCAUCCAGCGCGGGAGAAAGAUAAACGCUGGAAAACUCAGCAAGUCAGCUUCUUCCGCCUUCUUCUGUCUUAAAGCCAAGGUGACAGCUGAUUGGAUGGUGCCCACCCA
rnacentral:lncRNA from 10 species